UCCUGACAGGCGCAUUGGGCGUCUGACAUAACCCACGACAGGAGAAUGACAUG
rnacentral:ncRNA from 1 species